rnacentral:misc_RNA from 1 species
GAAAUGCGAUAAGUAAUGUGAAUUGCAGAAUUCAGUGAAUCAUCGAAUCUUUGAACGCACCUUGCGCCCUUUGGUAUUCCGAGGGGCAUGCCUGUUUGAGUGUCAUUAAAUACCAUCAACCCUCUUUUGACUUCGGUCUCGAGAGUGGCUUGGAAGUGGAGGUCUGCUGGAGCCUAACGGAGCCAGCUCCUCUUAAAUGUAUUAGCGGAUUUCCCUUGCGGGAUCGCGUCUCCGAUGUGAUAAUUUUUACGUCGUUGACCAUCUCGGGGCUGACCUAGUCAGUUUCAAUAGGAGUCUGCUUCUAACCGUCUCUUGACUGAGACUAGCGACUUGUGCGCUAACUUUUGACUUGACCUCAAAUCAGGUAGGACUACCCGCUGAACUUAAGC